AGCAGCCGCGGUAAUUCCAGCUCCAAUAGCGUAUAUUAAAGUUGUUGCAGUUAAAAAGCUCGUAGUUGAAUUUCGGGGUUAGCAGGUCGGUCGUGCCAUCGGUAUGAACUGGUCUCGCUGAUCCCUCCCUCUUGACGAACUGUGAUGCCAUUAAUUUGGUGUCGCAGGGAAUCAGGACUGUUACUUUGAAAAAUUGAGUGUUUAAAGCAGGCUCACGCUUGAAUACAUUAGCAUGGAAUAAUGAAAUAGGACGUUUGAUCCUAUUUUGUUGGUUUCUAGGAUUGACGUAAUGAUUAAUAGGGAUAGUUGGGGGCAUUAGUAUUCAAUUGUCAGAGGUGAAAUUCUUGGAUUUAUUGAAGACUAACUACUGCGAAAGCAUUUGCCAAGGAUGUUUUCAUUAAUCAAGAACGAAAGUUAGGGGAUCGAAGACGAUCAGAUACCGUCGUAGUCUUAACCAUAAACUAUGCCGACUAGGGAUCGGAUGAUGUUAAUUUUUAAUGACUCAUUC
rnacentral:misc_RNA from 1 species